ACCUCAUAAGAGACAAUACUUGGAUAACUGUGAAGAUCCCUGUUUCUGUGCAACAAAGCUGGAUCUCAUAUUUCAUGUACUUUUUAAAAAGGAAAAAAAAGCAGCGAGUGAAGGUCCCUCCAAAACUACCGGAUAUCAAUGAGCGGUUUCAAUCUUGUCCACCUAUGACAUGAAUGCAGCAAUGACAUAGAGGAAAGGUCCCUCCAAAACUACCGGAUAUGCUUCUAAUGUGAGAUCAGCCAUUCAUCAAGUUGGCCCCACAUGGAAAUAGACGUCACGCACGCUGACAUGUACUUCGACCAUUGGUCACUUUCUCUUACAGUCCAUUUCUUUCACACACGUAUGGCCCACCCGGAGAGUAAGCCAACUUGUCCAGUGUUGAGCCCAACUGAUUAAUGGUGCUGAUCUCAUCACACGUGGGACGUAUUGGCAGUUGCGACAAGCUAUGAUCUUACCUUAUUUUGCAUUUGUGUAUCUGUUUCUGUUUAAAUCUUUUUUAAUCAUCCAAAGCUGUACAUAUUUAGCUUUCUUAAGGUCAGGUCAAAAUGGGAUACACUUUUUGAAUUGAGUUCUGUAGUUGCCUACUAAUCACCUCCAAGACUGACCCACUCUUGUAUGAUUUUGAUUGUAUUGAUAGGGUGUUUGAUUGUUUUAUAAAUAGAAUGUCAAUUUCAGAUGAUUA